ACUACCUCUCUGAAGUGGGUAUCGUCGUAGGAGGUAGAGGGUGUGUUACCAAACUACCACUCAAGGCAUUUCACUGGUAGCAUAAUUCAGUGGAAAAACCACUGGACAAGUGGGCACAAAACCUCAGGUUCUAGUACUAUCACUUGAUGGUUACAAGUCACUUCCUGAACUCUGUUUCUCUGUCAAGGCCAAGGGAGUAAGCUGCUAGUCAUACAAAGGACACGAGGUGAAAUGGAAGAGGUCUGCUUGCCCUCUAGACCCCAACACAGCGGGACCAACUGCAGACGACGACGUCAGCUUCAUCAAAGGGACCUGCUUCUCACUCUUCCACUGAAGCAGCCUUAACGGACAGAGCACCGGGUCUAUUAACAACUCCUCCUGAAUGAUGGGCUCAGCAGGCACCAAAUGAGAGACAGCUUCCUCUCAAGCCCACCUCCUCGCAAACACGCCCAGAGUCCGGUCAGUCCCCUCCAUGUCUGGCAGUCAGUGACUAAGCAGCGUAUCCUUGAAACGGAACAGCCAGCAGCCCACACUGAUUUCUGGAACCACGUCUAAUUUACAGUUCAUCCUACAGCAGGUUUCAUUCGCACAGUGCUUGAGGGUUUAUAAAAAGCUGCACGUAACGACCUACUUUGAUGUUCAAGGCUCAUAGCAACUCUGAAGUCGUACAACCACCUGCCUUCACUGCUUUUCAUAUAUAAGCAGGGCUUCCGGGGAUUGACUGACUACCCCGGGUGAAUGCCCAGCCAAGAUGCAACCCCACGUGCAAGGGUCCCCCCCUUGUCCUGCCAGUCUAUAAAGAGGAGAAUGUUUACUGACAUUUCUCGGGAUUCCUAGUAGAGAAAGUUCAUCACUGAGCGCCUGCUAGGAACUGACACAGUGCUGGUGUCUCACAUUCUCAGGACUCAGGAUAAAGUCCAAACACUUUGCACAGUCCUGUACCAUCCAGUCCUACCUAACUUUGCAGCCAGGUAGGCUUCUUUCCAUUCCCCUAAUAGGGCAAUUCCCAGCCUGCCUAAAAACCUCGACAGAGCAAUUCCCUUUGCCUGAAAUAUCAUUUACCUGGCUAAUUUCUACGUAUUCAAGUCUCAGCUUCAAUGUCACUUCUUCAGGGAAGCCUUUAUCAGCAUUCCCUACUCUCCCAAGCUGGACUGCAUCAUCCCCUGUCUCAUCAAGCUGGACUUCUGAGUACCCACAAUGCAAUCAUGUCCUUACGUGUGCACAAACAUCUGCUCACGCUCUCUCCAGCCAGCCUAAGAUCUUCGAAUGUGGAGACCAUCUGCUGUUUCCUUGUCACCAGGCACAGGGGCUGGCACUGUAGUAGCACUCAAACCAUUUAUUGAGUACAUGAGUAAAUGAGAACAUAAUGGAUUAAGAGUUCAGGCUA